rnacentral:rRNA from 1 species
UACGAAGGGUGCAAGCGUUGUUCGGAAUUAUUGGGCGUAAAGGGCGCGUAGGCGGACCUUUAAGUCAGUGGUGAAAUCUUACGGCUUAACCGUAAAAGUGCCAUUGAAACUGGAGGUCUAGAGUGUUUUAGAGGAGGGUGGUAUUCCUAGUGUAGAGGUGAAAUUCGUAGAUAUUAGGAGGAACACCGGAGGCGAAGGCGGCCCUCUGGAGAACUACUGACGCUGAUGCGCGAAAGCGUGGGGAUCAAAC